rnacentral:rRNA from 1 species
UACAGAGGGUGCGAGCGUUGUUCGGAAUUAUUGGGCGUAAAGGGCGCGUAGGCGGUGCGGUAAGUCACCUGUGAAAUCUCCUGGCUCAACUGGGAGCUUGCAGGCGAAACUGCCGUGCUGGAGUGUGGGAGAGGUGCGUGGAAUUCCCGGUGUAGCGGUGAAAUGCGUAGAUAUCAGGAGGAACACCGGUGGCGAAGGCGGAUCUCUGGGCCAUUACUGACGCUGAGGAGCGAAAGCGUGGGGAGCGAACAGG